GUAGGUGGCAAGCGUUGUCCGGGAAUUAUUGGGGCGUAGAGCGCGCGCAGGCGGUUCUUUAAGUCUGAUGUGAAAGCCCACGGGCUCAACCGUGGAGGGUCAUUGGAAACUGGAGAACUUGAGUACAGAAGAGGAAAGCGGAAUUCCACGUGUAGCGGUGAAAUGCGUAGAGAUGUGGAGGAACACCAGUGGCGAAGGCGGCUUUCUGGUCUGUAACUGACGCUGAGGCGCGAAAGCGUGGGGAGCAAACAGGAUUAGAUACCCUGGUAGUCCACGCCGUAAACGAUGAGUGCUAAGUGUUAGGGGGUUUCCGCCCCUUAGUGCUGCAGCUAACGCAUUAAGCACUCCGCCUGGGGAGUACGGCCGCAAAGGCUG
rnacentral:rRNA from 1 species